CUCACCUUUGAAGCCUUGCAUUUCCAGUCUGCUCCGAUGCAGGCAACACCAGUNUGUUGCUGAGACCUUUCACGUCGAAGAUCAGCAGCCGCAUCACAACUUGUUUUGCGGUCCACAGAUCAAACACUGGUGGCCUAUGUGAUUGACACUUUGCGUGUCUGUAGGUUAAAAUAUGACCGGCGUCACCUAAAAAUAGGUGAUACAAUAUGCGUUCCGUAGGUGAACCUGCGGAAGGAUCAUUACAGAGUUGGGGUCUUUCAGGCCCAACCUCCAACCCUAUGCGUAUUCACCUUUGUUGCUUUGGCGGGCCCGUUGAGGUAACUCACCGGUGGUCACAGGCUGUCGAGCGCCCGUCGGAGACUCACCGAACUCGUGUAAAUUGUGAUGUCCGAGUAUCAAUACAAUUAUUAAAACUUUCAACAACGGAUCUCUUGGUUCUGGCAUCGAUGAAGAACGCAGCGAAAUGCGAUAAGUAAUGUGAAUUGCAGAAUUCAGUGAAUCAUCGAAUCUUUGAACGCACAUUGCGCCCUCUGGUAUUCCGGAGGGCAUGCCUGUUCGAGCGUCAUUACACCACUCAAGCACAGCUUGGUAUUGGGUCCUCAUCCCAUGUGGAUGUGCCCGGAAAUCAGCGGCGACACAGCCCGGCUUCAAGCAGUAUAGCAUACCUUUCGCUUUGGAAGCUCGGGUCUGGGUCUGCCGGACAACCCCCGUGUUUUUUCAGGUUGACCUCGGAUCAGGCAGGGAUACCCGCUGAACUUAAGCAUAUCAAUAAGCGGAGGAAAAGAAACCAACUGGGAUUGCCUCAGUAACGGCGAGUGAAGCGGCAACAGCUCAAAUUUGAAAUCUGGCUCUUUCAGGGUCCGAGUUGUAAUUUGUAGAGGAUGCUUCGGGUACGGGUCCGGUCUAAGUUCCUUGGAACAGGACGUCGCAGAGGGUGAGAAUCCCGUAUGUGAUCGGUCCCCACACCCGUGUGAAGCUCCUUCGACGAGUCGAGUUGUUUGGGAAUGCAGCUCAAAAUGGGUGGUAUAUUUCAUCUAAAGCUAAAUAUUGGCCAGAGACCGAUAGCGCACAAGUAGAGUGAUCGAAAGAUGAAAAGCACUUUGGAAAGAGAGUCAAACAGUACGUGAAAUUGUUGAAAGGGAAGCGCUUGCAACCAGACUUGCUCGUGGGUGAUCAACCGGUAGUCUUACCGGUGCACUCGCCCGCGAUCAGGCCAGCAUCGGUUUGGGCGGUUGAAUAAAGUCCCCCGGAAAGUAGCUCCUUUUGGGGAGUGUUAUAGCCGGAGGUGCAAUGCAGCCCGCCCGGACCGAGGACCGCGCU
rnacentral:sRNA from 1 species